GACCAAUAAAUGUGUCCGUAUGGAGUGGAUAAAACUCCCAGGAACUGAUAUUCGAAUAUAUAUUCAAUCCUACUAUAAAAGAUAAUCCAAACUAGAUAUUUAUACGAUACAUAUUGUCUACAACAAACAACAAAAAUUUGAAAAGCCUAAUCUGAUAGUAUUUGAAAUAUUGGUAAUUGUUGGAGGCAUUUACUUCAGAUUUGACUGACUGGUUCCUUGUGCAGUUACAGUUACAGAAUCUCUAUUUCCCCUUUCACACUUUCUUUUUCUAAAAUAUGUCUUCAAAUGUGCGGUUGUAUCAGUCUUCAAAAAUGACAAUGGAGUUGAUCAAUGCUCCGUGGUUGCAGCCAUAUAUCGCUCUAAUGCUGUUUGGAUUGCAACAAGACAUGAUAUAGAAGAAACUAAAAUAACAACUAAGGUAAUUAGCUACCACAAUAUAAGUGUGGUUGGCUCUCAAAUUGUUCAUUGGUACUGCAGGUUGAAUAUGUACAUUAAUACAUUUAUCUAAGAGAAAGAGGAAGAGUAAAUGUACUUGUUAUGUAGAGAGAGGAAGAUUAAAUGUAUUUGUUAUGUAGAAGAACACUUAAAUGUGAUUCGAGGACUAGAUGUGGAGCAAUUCGACAUAAAUUGGUAUCUGACUCCUCAUAAUUUGGUAACCUCAAUUCUGUUAACAAUUACUCUAUACAUGGAUCAUUUUUCGGUUCAUACUCGUAAUUAUUUUAAGUUUUGGAUAGAACUAAUUCAUUGGCACAAAUAGUUAAUGGGAGAAAAAAUUAAGUUAUUUGGACCUCAGAGGACUGACAGGACACACACUGCUAGACUUGCUACCUAGUAAGUCAUCAUCAUCGCGAGCUCAUGUAUGCGAUUAUGGAAAUUGGUUAUGUCACAGAGGACCGUGGUGGCACCUUACAUUUGGUGAUCACACAUUUUUAUUUGUACUUGGCAUCUUAACUGCAUAUACAAUAAUAAUUACGCC
rnacentral:lncRNA from 1 species